UAUGUGUUCUUACUUGUAGGAAAUGGUUACUGGGGAUUCUGGUCGGAGUGGUCUUGUUCCAGGAACUGCACAGAUGAAAAGGUUUAUAGACAAAGGCUAUGUGACAGACCAGUUCCAAAUGUCUACGGGAAACAAUGUCUGGGUGUUGGUAGUGACAGUUUGCCCGGAGAUUGUUUCAAAGACACUAUCUGCCCUGAAAACUGCCCAUGGCGUACUUAUGGAAAAAACUGUUUAGGUCAGUGCCCCAACUGUUUGUCAGACUGCGACAGGUUUACAGGGGCGUGUACGGAGUGCGCCGACGGAUGGCAAGAUAAUGAUCACGGCUGCACUACGGGUAAGUG
rnacentral:sRNA from 1 species